rnacentral:rRNA from 1 species
UACGGAGGAUGCGAGCGUUAUCCGGAUUCAUUGGGUUUAAAGGGUGCGUAGGCGGCUUUUUAAGUCAGUGGUGAAAUCCUGCCGCUUAACGGUAGAAUUGCCAUUGAUACUGAAGAGCUUGAGUACAAUUGAGGUAAGCGGAAUGUGUAGUGUAGCGGUGAAAUGCUUAGAUAUUACACAGAACACCGAUUGCGAAGGCAGCUUACUAAACUGUCACUGACGCUGAUGCACGAAAGCGUGGGGAGCGAACAGG